UUGGUGUGAAUUGCAGAAUCCCGU
rnacentral:siRNA from 1 species